UUGAGGACAAAAGAAAUUAAGUAUGAAUGCCUACACUUAUAGUGACAGUGCAGUAGUUUAGCAGCUAUUGAUUGAUCAAGAUUUGAUAUGUGAAUGACUAGAGAAAGGUGAACUUAAAGCAAAAGAUGGCAGGCUGAUUGUGGCAGUACAAGGUAAUGGGGCACCUGGAAAAUAGUUUGCAGAAUGGAGGGGAAUGGGGAGACUGUAAUUUUGCAAGACAGAACUAGGAAUAGUUACAGACCUUUUAGCUUGUGAAUGUAGAAUGGCAUCCAUUUUUAACAUAGCAAAAGAUUUGUGGGUGACAGUAACUGUAUGGCUAAGGGCUUGUAUAUUGAAAGAGUUUGUAAUGACACAAGGUACAUUACAAAAUGUAAAAAACUAACAACAUGUAAGUAGCGUAGAAAAAGUGAAACUCAAACGACAAGGGAAAAGGUGCAAAUGAGUCACUGAUAAUGUUAUAGGAUCAUCAUUAAAUCAUAAAAAUGUUGUAUCAGCAUCAAGAAAAUUACCACAUGGGGCAGGUGUAAUAUGACCAUCAAGAAAAUUACAACAUGAGGCAGGUGUAAUAUCAACAUCAAGAAAAUUACAACAUGGGGCAGGUGUAAUAUCAACAUCAAGAAAAUUACAACAUGGGGCAGGUGUAAUAUCAACAUCAAGAAAAUUACAGCAUGGGGCAGGUGUAAUAUCAACAUCAAGAAAAUUACAACAUGGGGCAGGUGUAAAUCAACAUCAAGAAAAUUACAACAUGGGGCAGGUGUAAUAUGAGCAUCAAGAAAAUUACUGCAUGGGGCAGGUGUAAUAUCAACAUCAAGAAAAUUACAGCAUGGGGCAGGUGUAAUAUCAGCAUCAAGAAAAUUACAGCAUGGGGCAGGUGUAAUAUCAACAUCAAGAAAAUUACAACAUGGGGCAGGUGUAAAUCAACAUCAAGAAAAUUACAACAUGGGGCAGGUGUAAUAUCGAUAUCAAGAAAAUUACAACAUGGGGCAGGUGUAAUAACAUCAAGAAAAUUACAACAUGGGGCAGGUGUAAUAACAUCAAGAAAAUUACAACAUGGGGCAGGUGUAAUAACAUCAAGAAAAUUACAACAUGGGGCAGGUGUAAUAACAUCAAGAAAAUUACAACAUGGGGCAGGUGUAAUAUGAGCAUCAAGAAAAUUACAACAUGGGGCAGGUGUAAUAUGAGCAUCAAGAAAAUUACAACAUGGGGCAGGUGUAAUAUGAGCAUCAAGAAAAUUACUACAUGGGGCAGGUGUAAUAUGAGCAUCAAGAAAAUUACCACAUGGGGUAGGUGUAAUAUGAUGUAAAAUUACUGAAGCAAGAGUGACAAAAUAACUACAGGCCCAUAAGUCUGACCUGCCUUGUAUGUAAGGCCAUGGAAUGAAACAUGUCCAUGAUAAAUGGGGACAUGUGUAACCUGCAAAUGCUGAACCCAUCACAGUUUGGCUUUGUUAAAGGAAGGUUAUGCUUAUUAAAUCUUGGGAAUUUCUUUGAGAGGGUCAACAAAGCAGAUGAUGAAGGCAAGACUGUAUACACAGCUUACCUCGACUUGGACAAGGCUUUUGAUAAUAUUCCACCCAAGCAUUAUACGCAAGAUCAGUAAAAUUAGGUAUAAACCCUUUUAUCACCCACUGGAUAGCCGAAUGGCUCAGUGACAUGACCAAGUAGGUCAAAAUAGGAGAAGGCACCUUCACCAAGUGGCCAGUCAUGAGUGGAAUCCCCAGGGCUCAGUAAUGAGCCCUCUGGUUUUUGGCAUCUAUUUCUCUAAAGUGCAAGCAAACACUGAAGAUUUAUGGCUGAAUACCUUUGAAAUGAUUGCAUGCUUGGGGUUAUCAUCAACUUCCCUGCAGACACUAUCUUCAAAAAGGCCCAUCACUGACUAACAAAUGGUGCCAAGGUCUUAAACUCAAUGCUGAGAAAUGCAUAAUUGUACUCUUUGGGAAGUCAACCAUCCCUGCUAAUUACCAUGUUGAUACUAUACCCCUAAGAGUUAACACUGUGGUCAAGUAUGUGGUAUGCACACAGACAGUAGCCUUAUCUUCAACCUCUAUGUGGCCACAGUGGUGAGGAAAUACUUUUACAUUGUACAACUUAUAAGUAGGGACAUGGAAUCUAGCUCCAAAGAAGUCACUGUCCCACUGUACUCUGCCCUUGUCAGACCAGUCAUAGAUUACAAUGCGCCCUUCGGUAUGUACAUGGGCAGGCAUAUGCAGCAACUAGAAUGUCCUCAGAGGUUCCUUACAAAAGAAAUUCAGGCAUAACAGCAUGUCAUACAGAUUGCUGAAAGCUGCUCUAUGCCUGGCUUACAAGGAAUCCACAAACCCUACAUUUAUGAAUGGCCUGAUUAUUUGUAAGUCAAACAAUAUCAGAAAUAUUAAGUCUAAGGAUCUGAAUUUUGUCUGUGACUUAAACAGAAUAUGCUGCAGAUAACAAUAUGUGUCACAGAGACUGCCCUCCUAUGGAACAGGCUUCCUAUCCAUGUGAAGCUGAGUUUGUCUGUUACCCAAUUUAAAUACAAGCUAGACCAGUGGACCUGGCACCCAUGUCCCUUAUGGACAAAUGGAGUUUAUAAGUGCCUGGCCCUCCACGUCCUGUUUGGAUACAGGAUGUCCUUAUUCUUUCUGGAAAACUUGGUUAGGCUUAGAAAGGCCCCCCGAGUAGUUAGCCUAGUAACAAAGUGUGACUCUGUAAUGUCUGGGAAUAGAAGAAGAAUUCGUAUUACUUCUUAAAGAUGUACAAACAUUUGAAAAUAAUAGUAAAAAUUACCUGGACAUGUUAGAUUAGGUAUAAAGUAAAUGUUCAGGUUAUGUAGAUUUGGUGUGAUCAGUUGGUCAAAAAAAAUAGGUCAGUUAAACAUAAAAAUAAGAAAAGUGCUUCUUUCCUGUUAGUUGAUAGAUUUUAAACAAGUCUACAUUUGGCAAGAUUAUUUAUUUUCUUGUAUAAGAGAGGUAUAGGCCUCCCCUGAAAUUGAUUGUGUACAUAUUCCCACUUCUGGGACUACAAACCUAUAUUUUAACAUCCCAUAUCCAAACAGAAAGUUCAGAUCCCCAAAGUAAGAAAACAUAGGAUGCCAUCCAUUCAAAGAUUAGCAAAAUCUUUUCAGAAAUGAAUGGGAAUUUGUCUUAAGAAUCAAGUUUGUGUGUGGAAAUUAAGACUGGGAAAUAAGCCAGGCAUACACAAGACACCAAUAAAAGCUGAUUGUGUAAAACAAUUUAAUGGUAAAUCUCAAGACUACCAUGCACAAUGCUUAGCCAGGUCACUAAGGCCAAGGCAAGCCUACCAUGACAAGGCAGCUGUCUCUGCCUUGGACAACCGGGAGUUUUGAGAAAUCCUAGGUCAUGAGUUGGGCUAUCAGUGUGAAUGGGAUGCAGAAACCAAUGGCCAGCUCUAUUGUCAGCAGAAAGGUAGGAGGACUCCUUGAUGUUCAUGUUUCUUAGUAAUAAUUAAAAACACAAUGUAUUUGUGGGUCUUUGUAUUUUUCUAAAACGAUUUCAAACCUGCAUAAACUAAAUUACUGCUGGUGAUUCCUGCUAGUUUUUCGUCACCUGCCCUCCCCUCCCCUUUGUUGCUCUGCUUUUUAAAGCUGGUGUUUUUAAGCUGUCCAUCCAUACUGUAAAUUGAGCUUAAUAAGCUCCUCCCUUUCUACACU